GCCGGCGUAGCCCAAUGGCAGAGGCACUCGGCCUAGAACCGAGACAGUGCGGGUUCAAAUCCCGCCGCCGGCA
rnacentral:tRNA from 1 species